CAGCCGCCGCGGGAAUACGUAGGUCCCGAGCGUUGUCCGGAUUUAUUGGGCGUAAAGCGAGCGCAGGCGGUUAGAUAAGUCUGAAGUUAAAGGCUGUGGCUUAACCAUAGUACGCUUUGGAAACUGUUUAACUUGAGUGCAAGAGGGGAGAGUGGAAUUCCAUGUGUAGCGGUGAAAUGCGUAGAUAUACGGAGGAACACCGGUGGCGAAAGCGGCUCUCUGGCUUGUAACUGACGCUGAGGCUCGAAAGCGUGGGGAGCAAACAGGAUUAGAUACCCGAGUAGUCCCUGUCUCUUAUACA
rnacentral:rRNA from 1 species